AGAGUUUGAUCAUGGCUCAGAUUGAACGCUGGCGGCAGGCCUAACACAUGCAAGUCGAGCGCGAAAAUACCUUCGGGUAUGAGUAGAGCGGCGGACGGGUGAGUAACGCGUAGGAAUCUACCCAGUAGUGGGGGACAACAGUCGGAAACGGCUGCUAAUACCGCAUACGCCCUAAGGGGGAAAGCGGGGGUCUUAUGACCUCGCGCUAUUGGAUGAGCCUGCGUCGGAUUAGCUAGUUGGUGGGGUAAAGGCCUACCAAGGCGACGAUCCGUAGCUGGUCUGAGAGGACGAUCAGCCACACUGGGACUGAGACACGGCCCAGACUCCUACGGGAGGCAGCAGUGGGGAAUAUUGCGC
rnacentral:rRNA from 1 species